rnacentral:rRNA from 1 species
AGUCGAGGGGCAGCAUUUCAUUUUGCUUGCAAAGUGAAGAUGGCGACCGGCGCACGGGUGAGUAACACGUAUCCAACCUGCCGAUAACUCGGGGAUAGCCUUUCGAAAGAAAGAUUAAUAUCCGAUAGCAUAUCAAUCCCGCAUGAGAUUGAUAUUAAAGAAUUUCGGUUAUCGAUGGGGAUGCGUUCCAUUAGUUUGUUGGCGGGGUAACGGCCCACCAAGACUACGAUGGAUAGGGGUUCUGAGAGGAAGGUCCCCCACAUUGGAACUGAGACACGGUCCAAACUCCUACGGGAGGCAGCAGUGAGGAAUAUUGGUCAAUGGACGUAAGUCUGAACCAGCCAAGUAGCGUGAAGGAUGACUGCCCUAUGGGUUGUAAACUUCUUUUAUAUGGGAAUAAAGUAUUCCACGUGUGGGAUUUUGUAUGUACCAUAUGAAUAAGGAUCGGCUAACUCCGUGCCAGCAGCCGCGGUAAUACGGAGGAUCCGAGCGUUAUCCGGAUUUAUUGGGUUUAAAGGGAGCGUAGGUGGAUUGUUAAGUCAGUUGUGAAAGUUUGCGGCUCAACCGUAAAAUUGCAGUUGAAACUGGCAGUCUUGAGUACAGUA